GCCCGGCUGGCGUAAUGGUUAACGCGUAAGACUUCUACGUAAAGCAGUAAUCUUAAGAUUGCGAGUUCGAGUCUCGCGUUGGGUU
rnacentral:tRNA from 1 species